UGUUUGUUGCCAUUUUUUAUUUUUUUUUAUUGUUUUGGGUUUAUCUUUACAACUAUUUUUUUCUUUAAAAACCAUUCCUAUCUGAACUGAGCCAUACAUCGCUACAACAGUCAACCAUAAUUUCUUUCUUAUCUGUUAUAGGCUUCUUUCUCUCUCCCAUUUCUUCUCACUCUUUCUCCAUUUUCACGCACAAACUAUCGUUCUUCUUUGUUUCACUUCCCCCACAGAAUCACUUCAUCUCUAUUUUUCAUUUUUCUCUGACGAUUUCUUUACAUAUACUGCUUCAUUUAGCCAGAGGUACCAUCCAAAAAAUCUUAAUCUUUUGUUUUUAUUUUCUUUUGUAGAGGUUUGAAAUUUUCAUCGUCGAGAAAGUAUACGAUCAAGAGGAUGAUUGAAAAAAGAGUUUUGGUAAGUAAAUGUUAAUUUGCUACUAUGAAUCGAAUGUAUAGUGGUCGGAUUUUACUAUUUGGACCAUCCUAAAAAUUCAAACAUUUUUUUCGGCAGGGUUUCAACUUUUCAUUGUCUAAUAUAUGAGAUUGAGCAAGAACUUGGUCGAAAUAUAACCAAGCAAGAGUCUUAUCUAUUGGGUUUGUUGAUCCAAAAAUGAUAAUUUUCCUUUUCCUUUGAUGCAUUUAUUAUUUGUUCCACGUAUUUUCAUCUAGAACUUUCUGGCUGUAGAAAGGUUUGUUAUUUUCUUUUAAAAUUUUUUUUUUAUAAAUUUGUUACAUUUAUUUUUGAACUUUUUUCGAUCUGAAAUGUUCAAAUGUUUUUUAUUACUGAACGAUCUCCAGAUGCUUAAGGAGCUCCAAACUGUUAUCAAAUGAGGCCCAUCCUAUUUGUUGCCAUCACGCCGCAACCUCCUGCAAAGUUAAUUUAAAGCCCUUUGUGCAGUCAAGUACAUGUUCCCCAUUUCGCCUGACAAUACAUCUUUGCGAUCAGUAGUUAAUUCUAAUUAAUUUGACUAUUUUAUUUGGAAUUUUAUGUUUCUCCUGUGAAUUCUAGCAAUUGGAUUUGAUGUGGAAGCUUUUUUGUAUUUGAUUCCGAUUAACUAGAAUAUUAUAUCUGCAAUUUUCUCUUCCUUUUUAUGAAUUGUAGCUAUUGGAUUUUGUGUGGAUACAUUUUUGCAGUUCGUAUUUGAUUUUGAAUAAUUAUACUGUAAUUUCUCUUGGCAUCAUGAAUUCAAGCAAUUGGAUUUUGUGGUGACAUUUUUGCGACCAGUAUUUGGUUAUGAUAAUAUGAUUGAUUAGAAUGUUUCAUCCGCAAUUAUUUCUUCGCUUAAGGAAUUAUAGGAAUUGGGUUUUGUAUGGAUACAUCUCUACUAUUGGUAGUAGAUUCUGACAAAUUGGAAUUUAUUUGCAAUUAAAAUAAAUGAACUGUGUUGGUAACUCCCUAAACUUCAAAAAAUUAUUUUUAUUAUUCUUCUCGGGACAUUUGCACAUUUUUCUUCACAAAUAAAGCAAGAGAUGUACUCAACUACAUGAUGUAGUUGAACCUAUGAUAUUUUUACCUGAUGUUGAGAUCUAGCCUACAUUCUAAAGUUCUGUUGGUGCACAUUAUCUUAACGCGACACAAUCAUCUAGAUCCAGUAGUUAAAAAAGAUACAUGGGCUGAAGAGAAAUUAUUAGUCCUGGCUUCUUAUCACCAAUUAUAUGGAAAUAAAUGGACAGAAUCGCAAGUUUGUUGUGUAAAUUUUCUAAUAGCUCGAUCAUACUUGAUUUUAACAUAAAAUUCUACAUUUUAUCAUUUUCUUCUAAUAUGCUUUUUGCUGGAAGUUCAGUAUCAUGUUCAAAAAUUUUCGAGAUUGUAAUAUAUCCUCUCUCUUUGUUGCUCUGUUUUCUUCUGUGCUUUGAUAACCUUGCCCAUAUUAUUAAUUUUCUUGAACUGUUCAAUUAAAGAUGAUCGCUGAAAUUGAAAUGCUAAUGUGCCUAUGGUCAACUAAGAUCUUGCUUGGGUGGGCAACUAUAGAUAUGAGAAAGAAAAGGUUUUCCAGGCUCUCUCUUAUAUUUAUAAUCUUACUUAUAAGCCACCCUAAACAUGCUCUAAUUUGGUCUCUUAACUCAUGAUGAUGGGAAAUCAGUAUAUAUGUUAGGCAUAUUUUGUGUUUUUAUCUAGCUUUAGGAUCAAUUCAGUGUAUAGAGUAAAGCAAAUGAUAGAUGGUAUCCUUUUUUAAUCUUAUCGAAGAGUCAUUUGGAAGAGACUUUUUUAUCCAUGUGAAAUUUUGUUAUUGUUUUAACGAACUUGACUAUUCCAAUAUGAGAAUUUGGAAAAGAAAAAAUCCGGUAUUUAUCGUGUUAAAGAACUGAAAUUACAACAUUAGCAUACUGCCAUCAAAUACAUCAAUGGCACAAUGGUAAUUCUAUAAUCAUUGCAUUUCAUCUACUUCUUUGUCAUAUCUUUUUUGCUUGGAGAAAUCACUUGCACCAACUAUUUUGCACCUGCUGCAUCCCACAUGUUAGCAAAAUCCAAUGCAUAUAUUGUAAAGUAUAGGAAAGGGCUUUGCCACAAGCAUUACUCCAGUUACUCUGGGAUUGACACGUCUUUUACUGAAAAUAU
rnacentral:lncRNA from 1 species